CACAUAAGCUUCUACUAAAUAGUCUUCAAUGAUGUAGUCAUUUGUUUUCUUUCCACUUUAUGCACUUAAUAAAUAAGCUGAUUUUCACAUAAUCUAGAUUAGCCAGAGCGUGCCUGGACAAAUUUCCAUGUACAGAAGUUUAGUACUCAUUGCAUAUAAACUGUGGUGUGAGAGCAGCCACCGUUGGAGACAUCAAAUUCGAAGAUGAUACAGAUCUUGGAGGUGGAGCAAAAUUUGUUGAUGACAACAUAGGAAAUAAUGCAUCGACACUUGGAAUGGAAAGCUAAGGAAUAUGCUCUGAUGCAAUGUUAAACAUAGCAUCCCAUAUUCUAGCACACUAAUGUUUUUGUCCCCUGAUGCAAUGUUAAACAAAUAAUUGUCACUGAUUCAUGAUUUUGUGGAACAAUGACUAAUACGAAUUGUAUCUUGGUGGGUCUAAUGUAUUUUGAAGUUUAAAAUA